UACGUAGGGGCCGAGCGUUGUCCGGAGUUAUUGGGCGUAAAGCGCGCGCAGGCGGCCUCGCGCGCCCGACGUGAAAGCCCCCGGCUUAACCGGGGGAGGGUCGUUGGGGACGGCGGGGCUUGAGGGCGGGAGAGGGUGGUGGAAUUCCCGGUGUAGUGGUGAAAUGCGUAGAGAUCGGGAGGAACACCCGUGGCGAAGGCGGCGACCUGGACGGACACUGACGCUGAGACGCGAAAGCGUGGGGAGCAAACAGG
rnacentral:rRNA from 1 species